AGAUUGAAGAAACAUUCACAGUCAAACAGGAAGAUCUGCAAGAACAAACAGCUCACUCAAAAACUGGUCCAGCUGUCAGAGUAACACCUCUCUGUGUAACUAGCUGCUGGAUUUUCUCAGCGGAAGACCACAAGCAGUACUGGCCGACAGUAACACAUCCAGCACCAUCACUCUAAACACUGGGGCCUCUCAGGGAUGCUGAGCCCUAUCCUCUUCACUUUUCUGAUUCAUGACUGUGCACCAUCUCACAACUCCAAUCUUUUCAUGAUGUUUGCGGAUGACACAACUGUGGUAGGUCUCAUCAACAAAAACGAUUAGAAAAACUACAGAAGCAAGGUGAGCCAUCUGGCCGAGUGGUGCAGAGACAACAAUCUCUUCUUAAAUGUGGAAAAGACAAAGGAGAUAGUUAUUGACUUCAAGAAAGUGCACACUCUGCAUGCUUCAAUGACCAUUAACAGUGCGUCUGUGGAGCAUGUGAGCAGCACUAAGUUCCUGGGCGUACAAAUCACUGAGGAUCUCUCCUGGACAAAAAAUCACAGCUACUUCCUCCACAAACUUAAAUAAGCAAGAGCACCAGCCUCAAUCAUGCAGACCUUCUACAGAGGCACAAUUGAGAGCAUCCUGACCAGCUGCAUCACUGUGUGGUUUGGAGCCUGCAAUGCAUCCUGCAGGAAAACUCUUCAGCGCAUAGUGAGAACAGCUGAGAAGAUCAUUGGUGUCCCUCUACCCUUCCUCCAGGACAUUUACAGCACCCGUCUCACCCGAAAAGCCCUCUGCAUAACAGCAGACCUCACUUACCCAAUGCAUAGCUUCUUCAGUCUGCUGCCAUCAGGGUGGAGAAUGCGAAGUCUCCAGGCCAGGACCAACAGACUGCAAGACAGCUUCAUCCAUCAGGCUGUCAGGAAGCUGAACCCUCUCCCAACUCUGCCACCACUCCCCUCUCCCUCCACAUGCAUUUUUGGACUCUGACACACAU